GCUCGGGUGGCGGAAUUGGUAGACGCGCAGGAUUCAGGAUCCUGUGGGGGUUUCCCCGUGAGGGUUCGAGUCCCUCCCCGAGCA
rnacentral:tRNA from 1 species